CCUACGGGGGGCUGCAGUGGGGAAUAUUGGACAAUGGGGGCAACCCUGAUCCAGCCAUACCGCGUGUGUGAAGAAGGCCCUCGGGUUGUAAAGCACUUUCAGUGAGGAAGAACGCCUGGUGGUUAAUACCCAUCAGGAAAGACAUCACUCACAGAAGAAGCACCGGCUAACUCCGUGCCAGCAGCCGCGGUAAUACGGAGGGUGCGAGCGUUAAUCGGAAUUACUGGGCGUAAAGCGCGCGUAGGUGGCUUGAUAAGCCGGUUGUGAAAGCCCCGGGCUCAACCUGGGAACGGCAUCCGGAACUGUCAAGCUAGAGUGCAGGAGAGGAAGGUAGAAUUCCCGGUGUAGCGGUGAAAUGCGUAGAGAUCGGGAGGAAUACCAGUGGCGAAGGCGGCCUUCUGGACUGACACUGACACUGAGGUGCGAAAGCGUGGGUAGCAAACAGGAUUAGAUACCCCUGUAGUC
rnacentral:rRNA from 1 species